GACGAACGCUGGCGGCGUGCUUAACACAUGCCAGUCGAACGGAAAGGCCCUGCUCUUGUGGGGUGCUCGAGUGGCGAACGGGUGAGUAACACGUGAGUAACCUGCCCUUGACUUUGGGAUAACUUCAGGAAACUGGGGCUAAUACCGGAUAGGAGCUCCUGCUGCAUGGUGGGGGUUGGAAAGUUUCGGCGGUUGGGGAUGGACUCGCGGCUUAUCAGCUUGUUGGUGGGGUAGUGGCUUACCAAGGCUUUGACGGGUAGCCGGCCUGAGAGGGUGACCGGCCACAUUGGGACUGAGAUACGGCCCAGACUCCUACGGGAGGCAGCAGUGGGGAAUAUUGCACAAUGGGCGGAAGCCUGAUGCAGCAACGCCGCGUGCGGGAUGACGGCCUUCGGGUUGUAAACCGCUUUCGCCUGUGACGAAGCGUGAGUGACGGUAAUGGGUAAAGAAGCACCGGCUAACUACGUG
rnacentral:rRNA from 1 species